rnacentral:lncRNA from 13 species
AUGACGUGGGUGUGCAUGUGUAUGAGGUGCAANNNNNNNNNNNNNNNNNNNNNNNNNNNNNNNNNNNNNNNNNNNNNNNNNNNNNNNNNNNNNNNNNNNNNNNNNNNNNNNNNNNNNNNNNNNNNNNNNNNNNUCAUUACUACCACUACCACUACUAUCAUAAUUACUACCACUACCACUACUAUCAUAAUUGUUACUACCAUUACUAUCAUAAUUACUACCACUACCACUACUAUCAUAAUUAAUCAUAUUACUGUCACUUCUAACAUAAUUACUACUACUACCACCAUCAUCAUUACUACCACUAUCACUACUAUCAUAAUUACUACUACUACCACUACUAUCAUCAUUACUACACCUACUAUCAUCAAUACUACCACUACCAAUACUAUCAUGAUUACUACCACUACCACCACUAUAAUCAUUACUACCACUACCACUACUAGCAGUAUUACUACUAUAACCACCAUCAUAAUUACUACUGCUACCACUACUAUCAUCAUUAAUCCCAUUACUAUCAUCAUUACUUCUACUACUAUCAUCAUUACUCCUAUUACUACCAAUUAUAUCAUAAUUACUACCACUACCUCUACUAUCAUCAUUACUACUACUGUCACUUCUAUCAUAAUUACUCUUAUUCCUACCACUACUAUCAUAAUUACUACCACUACAACUACUAUCAUCAUUACUACCACUACCCCUACUAUACUCAUUACUACUACCACUACUAUCAUAAUUACUACUACUACCACCAUCAUAAUUACUACUACCACCACUACUAUCAUAAGUACUAUUACUACCAAUACUAUCAUAAUUACUAACACUACCAAUACUAUCAUAAUUAAUGCCACUACCAAUAUUAUCAUAAUUACUACUACUACCACUACUAUCACAAUUACUAUUACUACCAAUGCUAUCAUAAUUGCUACUACCAUUACUAUCAUAAUUACUCCUAUUACUACCAAUACUAUCAUAAUUACUACCACUACCAUCAUAAUUACUACUACUACCACCAUCAUAAUUACUACUACUACCACUACUAUCAUCAUUAAUCCCAUUACUAUCAUCAUUACACGUAUUACUACCAAUUCUAUCAUAAUUACUACCACUACCUCUACUAUCAUCAUUACUACCACUACCUCUACUAUCAUCAUUACUACUACUAUCACUACUAUCACAAUUACUACCACUACCACUACUAUCAUCAUUACUACUACUGUCACUACUAUCAUAAUUCCUACUACUACCACCAUCAUAAUUCCUACUACUACCACAACUAUCAUCAUUAAUCCCAUUACUAUCAUCAUUACUACCACUACCACUACUAUCAUCAUUACUACCACUACCACUACUAUCAUCAUUACUACUAUUACAACCACUACUAUCAUCAUUACUAUUAUUACUAACACUACUAUCAUCAUCAUCAUAACUGCCACUACCAAUAUUGUCAACAUUACUACUACCACUAACACUACUAUCCUCAUUAAUACCACUACCAAUACUACCAUCUUUACUACCACUACCACUACAAUCAUCAUUACUACCACUGCCACUACUAUCAUAAUUACUACCACUACCACUACUAUCAUAAUUACUACUAUUACUACCAAUACUAUCAUAAUUACUACCACUACCACUACUAUCAUAAUUGUUACUACCAUUACUAUCAUAAUUAUUACCACUACGACUACUAUCAUAAUUGUUACUACCAUUACUAUCAUAAUUGCUACUACCACUACUAUCAUAAUUAAUCUUAUUACUGCCACUUCUAACAUAAUUACUACUACUACCACCAUCAUCAUUACUACCACUAUCACUACUAUCAUAAUUACUACUACUACCACUACUAUCAUCAUUACUACCACCACUAUCAUCAUUACUACCAUUACCACUACUAUCAUUAUUACAACUAUUACUACCACUACUAUCAUCAUUACCACCACUACCACUACUAUCAUAAUUGAUACCACUACCACUACUAUCAUCAUUACUGCUACUACUAUCAUCAUUACUACGACUACAUUCAUCAUUACUACUACUACCACUACUAUCAUCAUUACUUCUCCUACUAUAAUCAUUAUUACCACUAUUAUCAUCAUUACUACCUCUACUAUCAUCAUUACUACUACUACUACCACCACUAUCAUCAUUACUACCCCUACUAUCAUCAUUACUACCACUACU